rnacentral:lncRNA from 1 species
CUGUAUCCUUACAAAGUCCAUUUAGGAAAGGAUGAGAUCAGCAGUCAGGCAAAUGGAAGAAGAGUCUGAUAUUCAUGAAGCCAAUUCUGUAUGAACACUGGCAAGGAGGCCUGCUAAGAAAAUAUCCAAGACCAAGGUUGAAUUGAUCUGGACAGAUGGACACAGGGCUUCUAGUCAAUUUGAAGGUUGGGCUGAGGACCAGACAAGGCCUGGGAGUGCCUGCAUGGGCAGCAAACAAUAGAGAAGGGUGAUCUCCAGCAGCUGCUGAUUGUGCCGGAUCCAGCAGCUGCAGCCCACUAUUGUCAGCAUUACAUGCCUGAUUGCGACAGACAGCUCACCUACGUGUUGCACGCCCAGGAUCCCGAAGAGAACAUUCCCCGCAGGAAGGGCAAGAAGGGCAAGGGCAAGAGAAAGGGCAAGGGCAAGAGGAAAGGGAGAGGCAAGAAGAAGAGGAACAAGGAGUCGCCGGAGACGUCCUCGCUCACUCCGGCCCCCGGCCAGUAUGAGAUUCCAACUCGAGCUACACCUACAAAGGCAGCCACUGAGUCCUGGGAAGAGAAUCCUGGAGUUAUUACUGCAACCACUGUCGCAGUUGGCUUUAACCUCACAGACAACUAUGAGGACCUUUUUGGAGAACAGUACGAGAUUGGUGAGGACUCAGACCUGGAUGCCAAUGGCACUUACAGAGCAUACGAGGAGAGACUUGACUACAGAGACAGGGAAUAUGAGGACUACUAUGACCGAAGGGAUGCGAAUGAGGAAGAGCGGUAUGAUCCGGCUGAGCGCAGUGAAGACACCCUCCAGCUCCCCCCGGAAAAGAAUCUGAAAGGAGAGAAAGGGGAGCCAGCCAUCAUAGAGCCAGUGAGUAUGGUACAUGUUCUGUAGUGGCACUGGUGCUCCUCCAUCAGUAUGACUAGGGGCUGAAAGCCACUUGGUGAUGGGGUGGAAGGGGGUGGAAGAUACCAGCAAUAAGUUAUGGGAAGGUUUUUGGGUGUGUGGCAGGCUGUCAGUAGUAAAUAUGGGAGACAGU